rnacentral:rRNA from 1 species
GUGCCAGCCGCCGCGGUAACACGUAGGGGGCAAGCGUUGUCCGGAUUUACUGGGCGUAAAGAGCUCGUAGGCGGUUCAGCAAGUCGGGUGUGACAAUUCCAGGCUCAACCUGGAGAGGUCAUUCGAUACUGCUGUGACUAGAGUCCGGUAGGGGAGUGUGGAAUUCCCGGUGUAGCGGUGGAAUGCGCAGAUAUCGGGAGGAACACCAGUGGCGAAGGCGGCACUCUGGGCCGGAACUGACGCUGAGGAGCGAAAGCGUGGGGAGCGAACAGGAUUAGAAACCCUCGUAGUCC